rnacentral:tRNA from 1 species
GCUGGUCGUGGCGCCGGCGGCGGGCGCCUCGGGCUCUUCCGAGGUCUCGGCGUCCGGCGCCGCGGGAGCAUCAGCGGGUGCCGGCUGCUCGGCCAGUGCC